UGAUUUUCAUCACUACAUUGGUUAAUUAACAAAAGUAGGUAGUUCAAAGAAGUUAAUUUUGUUUAUAGCCUCAACUGUUUAAAGACGUCAUUGAGCGCUCAUCCUGAAAGCCUUGUGAUUUUAUGUUCAGGUGGCAAAUGACCUGCAUUAAUGUAACAGUGGAAACAUUCCAAUAUAUUAUUUAGGUUCUGAUAAUUAAACACUUGUUUGCAUUCUCCUUAAUGCCAUAGAGCUCUAAUGUACUGUGCAUUUGUUUUCUAUCCCCCUCGUCAAUUAUGCACUAGUACCAUACAGCGUAAACAAUUUUUUUCUACAGGAAGAAGUACUUCAGUAUCCCUAGUUCACAAAAAUUAGAACUGUUGGGCUGAACAGGCCAUUGAUUUGACCUCCUGCCUCAUUCUCCUCUUUAAGAUCACCGAGUGACUGAAGCUGAUGCUUGAAAAAGUGACCUCACUCCUUCCAAUUCCCAGUGACAGGUAAGCUGCCUUCCACACCUGAAUUUGUUCCUUCAGCUCAAACUGGUGCUGUUUGUACAUGACGUUGCAUUGGGUGGUGUAAACGUAACCAGAGAUACUGCAGAAGUUUUCCAGCUCCCGGCUUCCCAGAAGUUUCCUCUGACUUUUUACCCUGGCACACAGCCAGGCUGCUGUCCUGCCUGCCCCGUCCCGAGCUGUCUGCUGGGUUCCUGUGCCCUUAACUUCAGAGAUGGAGGUGGGAAGAGAAGAGAAUUUGAUUUUGUGGUUCGCCCAGUACAUUUUGCGUGCUUGUUUUUCUCACAGCUCAGUCCAUCUCUCUAUUCACAAACAUAAUAGAGAAGGGGGACAGAGAGGUUUUGCAGCACCUUCAAUGUAUUUUGAGCUACCAGACAGAAAAUACAUUGUCUUCAGAUGCUCUCCAUUGUAGGCACUGAUUCUGAAAACCUGGGCUGAAAACUGCAAAUUUUAAAUAUGCAUCCAAAGAUGUCUAUUGCUAAUUUUAACAUCCGUAGGAUGGACUGAGAAAAUCAACAAGCAUUUGGGCUGUGCAGUCUCUCAUUAAUAUGUUUUGGGUUCUGGGAUGACUACUCAGAGGACAUAUCGAGAUAAGUGUUGCAAUACAUUUACACAGACAAGAAAAAGCUGUCAAGAAAAUUAUUAAUAUGUGUGCUGAAAAAUGCACAUGAAUAUAUAUUGUAGUCAGAGUUAGUGGCAUAUGUAAGGAUUAUACAUAUAUGUGUAUAAGGGAUGUGUGUACAUGUAUAAAUGCAUAUUACUUCUCAAAAUUGAGAAUUGAUUGAUUGAAAUUGGAGUUGUUAAUUCUCAUGGCAAUGACAGUCUAAAAAGACAAAAGAGAAACAGUAUAUAAACAAUUUCUUGAAAGUCUGUAAAUAAUGAUUUCUAACCUCAUCUAGUCCUAGCUCUGUUACUCUUUCAUUACAAAAGCUAUUUUUAACAGUUUUUAAUUGCUUAUCAUUUGCCACUUCCUAGUAAAUCUAUGAAAUACUGAAGAACAGACAGAUAGGAGGAUUUUUGUCUUUUCCAACUGAAUUUCUAUUUCACAUAUGGAUGAGAAAUAAAGAUUUUAUGGUGUGUCUGACUGUUACUCUC
ensembl:lncRNA